AUGAUGAUGUAUAAAAUUUCUAGUUCUAGAAGUCAUCUCCCCCAGCUUUGUUCCUGCUGCUGCUUUCUCCUCAAGAAUGAGAAUCACGCGAUCAUGGUGAGUGGAUUCGUUGGGCUAGGGGGUGGGGAGCAGGCUCACAAGGCUGCCUGGUUUGCGCUUUCCAGGGCAAACGCUUUAUACUGGGACUGAAAACAAGCUCGUGUUGCUUGGACUAGAGUCAAAAUGAAAGAUUUCCAGUCCCCCAAAGUCUCUUUUCAAAAUUAUUGGUUUCCCUGGUGGCUCAGUUGGUAAAGAACCUGCCUGCAAUGCAGGAGACCCAGGUUCAAUCC
rnacentral:lncRNA from 1 species